GAUGAACGCUGGCGGCGUGCCUAGUACAUGCAAGUCGAGCGAACGGACGAGAAGCUUGCUUCUCUGAUGUUAGCGGCGGACGGGUGGGUAACACGUGGAUAACCUACCUAUAAGACUGGGAUAACUUCGGGAAACCGGAGCUAAUACCGGAUAAUAUUUUGAACCGCAUGGUUCAAAAGUGAAAGACGGUCUUGCUGUCACUUAUAGAUGGAUCCGCGCUGCAUUAGCUAGUUGGUAAGGUAACGGCUUACCAAGGCAACGAUGCAUAGCCGACCUGAGAGGGUGAUCGGCCACACUGGAACUGAGACACGGUCCAGACUCCUACGGGAGGCAGCAGUAGGGAAUCUUCCGCAAUGGGCGAAAGCCUGACGGAGCAACGCCGCGUGAGUGAUGAAGGUCUUCGGAUCGUAAAACUCUGUUAUUAGGGAAGAACAUAUGUGUAAGUAACUGUGCACAUCUUGACGGUACCUAAUCAGAAAGCCACGGCUAACUACGUG
rnacentral:rRNA from 1 species